UAUGACUCUCGGCAACGGAUAUCUCGGCUCUCGCAUCGAUGAAGAACGUAGCGAAAUGCAAUACGUGGUGUGAAUUGCAGAAUCCCGUGAACCAUCGAGUCUUUGAACGCAAGUUGCGCCCGAGGGACCCUCCCGAGGGCACGCCUGCCUCAUGGGC
rnacentral:rRNA from 1 species